rnacentral:rRNA from 1 species
GCGGUUUGCCGCGUCUGCCGUGAAAGUCCGGGGCUUAACUCCGGAUCUGCGGUGGGUACGGGCAGACUUGAGUGAUGUAGGGGAGACUGGAAUUCCUGGUGUAGCGGUGAAAUGCGCAGAUAUCAGGAGGAACACCGACGGCGAAGGCAGGUCUCUGGGCAUUAACUGACGCUGAGGAGCGAAAGCAUGGGGAGCGAACAGGAUUAGAUACCCUGGUAGUCCAUGCCGUAAACGUUGGGCACUAGGUGUGGGGGACAUUCCACGUUUUCCGCGCCGUAGCUAACGCAUUAAGUGCCCCGCCUGGGGAGUACGGCCGCAAGGCUAAAACUCAAAGGAAUUGACGGGGGCCCGCACAAGCGGCGGAGCAUGCGGAUUAAUUCGAUGCAACGCGAAGAACCUUACCAAGGCUUGACAUGAACCGGAACGGCGCAGAGAUGUGUCGGCCACUUGUGGCCGGUUUACAGGUGGUGCAUGGUUGUCGUCAGCUCGUGUCGUGAGAUGUUGGGUUAAGUCCCGCAACGAGCGCAACCCUCGUUCCAUGUUGCCAGCGGGUUAUGCCGGGGACUCAUGGGAGACUGCCGGGGUCAACUCGGAGGAAGGUGGGGACGACGUCAAAUCAUCAUGCCCCUUAUGUCUUGGGCUUCACGCAUGCUACAAUGGCCGGUACAAAGGGUUGCGAUGCUGUGAGGUGGAGCUAAUCCCAAAAAGCCGGUCUCAGUUCGGAUUGAGGUCUGCAACUCGACCUCAUGAAGUCGGAGUCGCUAGUAA